GUAGGUGGCAAGCGUUGUCCGGAAUUAUUGGGCGUAAAGCGCGCGCAGGCGGUUCUUUAAGUCUGAUGUGAAAGCCCACGGCUCAACCGUGGAGGGUCAUUGGAAACUGGAGAGCUUGAGUACAGAAGAGGAAAGCGGAAUUCCACGUGUAGCGGUGAAAUGCGUAGAGAUGUGGAGGAACACCAGUGGCGAAGGCGGCUUUCUGGUCUGUAACUGACGCUGAGGCGCGAAAGCGUGGGGGGAGCAAACAGGAUUAGAUACCCUGGUAGUCCACGCCGUAAACGAUGAGUGCUAAGUGUUAGGGGGUUUCCGCCCCCCCCUUAGUGCUGCAGCUAACGCAUUAAGCACUCCGCCUGGGAGUACGGCCGCAAGGCUG
rnacentral:rRNA from 1 species